AAGAUACUAGUAUAGCUGAAAGUACACUGCUUUGUCAAGGCAGAGUCGUGGCCCCUCGUAUCUUA
rnacentral:tRNA from 1 species